rnacentral:rRNA from 1 species
CAUUGGGCAUGCUUUACAUGCAGUCGUACGGGAGUUUUUAUCUCAAGUGUGCGGAGGGGUGAGUAACACGUAAGAAUUUGCCUUUAGGAGGGGGACAACCACUGGGAACGGUUGCUAAUACCCAUAUGCUUUCGAGUGAAAUGGUUUUUCCGCCUAAAGAGAAGCUUGCGGCUGAUUAGCUUGUUGGUAAGGUAAUGGCUUACCAAGGCGACGAUCGUUAUCUGGUUUGAUAGGACGAUCACACUCACUGGAACUGAUACACGGUCCACACUCCUACGGGAGGCAGCAAUGGGGAAUUUUCCCCAAUGGGCGAAAGCCUGACGGAACAUUGCCGCGUGAGGGAUGAAUGCCUAUGGGUUGUAAACCUCUUUUUUCAAGGACGAACGGAUUGACAUGUACCUGAAUAAUAAGCAUCGGCUAACUCCUUGCCCUCAGCCGCGGUAAGACUGAGGAUGAAAGUGUUAUCCGGAAUCGCUGGGCGUAAAGCGUCUGUAGGUGGUUUCAUAAUUCAACUGUUAAAUCUUGAGGCUCAACCUCGAAAUCGCAGUCGAAACUAUUAGACUAGAGUAUAGUAGGGGUAAAGGGAAUUUCCAGUGGAGCGGUGAGAUGCGUAUAUAUUGGAAAGAACACCGAUGGCUAAUGCACUUUACUGGUCUAUUACUAACACUGAGAGACCCAAGCUAGGGUAGCACAUGGGAUUAGAUACUCCAGUAGUCCUAGCUGUAAACAAUGGAUACUAGAUGUUGAACAGAUCGACCUGUGCAGUAUUAUAGCUGACGCGUACACGUAUCCCGCCUGGGAAGUAUGCUCGCAUGAGUGAAACUCAUUAGGAAUUGACAG